AUGUCCUCGUGUCCACGCUUCGUCCCUUUGCCACCUUCACCUUCCUCCACGCGAUGUCCUGACCGUGUCCCCGUGGCCACCACCGCCAGGGCAGGCCCUGUCCCCUCUGUGUCACCAGCACCGAGGAUUAUCCGCGUGGGACCCACGCCGUGGCCGUGGAACAGCCCCCCCGUGGCAGCAAACACCCAGAAUCACGCAGCUCGUGGUCGAGCGGGACAACUGCUCAAAGGCAGGAGGUGUGGAGGGAUGUCACGUAGCGUCUCCAUCCAUGUACACCCCGUUGGGUCAAAGGUACAGGCGCUGUCGGCGAUGAACCCGCAGGAAAAACCUGCUCAGCUAAUAACACUGCUGCCUCGUGCGCAGGGAUUCGGAAACCACUGACUCGAGUCGCUCUGUGCUGCUGUUUACUUGACGAUCUGGUGCGGACGCUGUUUCCUCUUCUGCUUCACAGUCAGGAAAACUCAGCGCAGGAAAACUGCCAAGCGACAGAAACGUUUAGGAUCCGCCAGCUAAGUGUGCCCAGGGUGCACUUAGUUCUGUCUGCGUGCACAUCUUUGUUAACGCGCGGUCGUUUACUCGGCUCUGCUCUCUACGCCUUUCCCUCAUCCUCUGUUUAACCCGACAGGACGCAUCAGCUUUGCUCCAGCCUUAAUUCAAAGAGAAGGAAAAUCAGAAGUAUCUAAAAUUAGAAGCGUAAGCAAUCAUCGCUCCAGAAACAUGGGAGAGGAAAUACCUGAGGAGCAAUGCCUCAGCUCCCAGUAACAAACGCCCAGCACCGGUCCCCUCACAUUAGCAAUAGUGUGGUCUGCUUUUAAAAAUACCAAACGUAAAGGCUGUGCAGUUUUCAGAACAGGUUUCUAGAUUUCUUUCUCCUAAGCGCAAACAACUCAGGCCAAAGGGGAACUCUUUAUUUCAGGUCUCAAUUUUCCCAACCACGUAAAACGCAAAUGACUGUUUACACACACCUCCCGGCUCAUCCCCUUGCUAUGCUGCUUUUUGUCUCCCGACGAGUAAUUCACCUUGGUUCUUCGCAGAGAGAAAAUCAACCCAAAAAAGCGAUCGGAGGCCGGGGGGAUGCAACGUGCCCCCGGCAUCCCCUGCCCCGCCGCACAUCACGGUGCUGUCGCACCGCGUUGGCAUGCGUUUGCUCGUCUCACCAGGGCAGAGAAGCAAACGAGACGCACGCUCCGUACGUGCGGCAGGAGCCCUGCUCUGCCCGUCAACACCGGGCGUUGGCCUGAGGGACGCAGGCGUUCGGGGAGGAUGCAAAACCUCAUGCAAAGUCUGCCUGAUGGCAGCCGCUGAGCCGAGCGCGCGGGUACCUUCGGGAGCGGCUGCUGGAGCAGGAGGCUGGUUGCGUUCGCUCCAUGCUCGGCGUGCUACGACUGCGGGGCAUUUGGGACCUGUUCUUCCUGCCCAUGGCACCCUUCCCGUGGGGGCAGGGGCCUGCCUCCACCCCCAGCAGUCGCUCCGGCUGUAAUGAAGCAACGAGGCGCAGCGAGCCGCGACUGGAGGUAGCGACCUGCCCCAGGAGACACGGCGUUUUGACCUAAUUGCUGUUCUCCUCCUCGAUGCUACCAACAGGGCCUGAGGGAUUCCGGCUUCCCACUUCCCUCAAAACUUUGCAGGGAGCUUUGGGAGUUCGAAGGCGCCCAACAAGGCGCGUGGGAGCCUGGUGUCGGGGGGGGGAGCGGUGGUGCCAAGGGACGCGGCCUCCUCGCACACCCACACCCAGCACACGUCCCGGGGCGACGUCCCCUGCUUGGCCCUGAGCAUCGCUCCGACCCCGCUCACCUCCUGGAGGACCCCACAGCCCCACAACUGCCCCGAUUCCCCCCAAAAACCCCGGGACGAGCCCUUGCAGCCUCCCCAAAUCCCCUCCGUGACCCCAACACCAGUGGGUGACAAGCGCUGGCAGCCCGGCCACGCUGCGUGGCCGCACCAGGAGCACACGCUGCCUGCCGGGGAUGCUCGCACCCCCUCUCUGCCACCUCCCCGCGCCCCCCUCCCCAACCCCGGGGGCUGCGGUCCCCCCACGGCCCGGGGGGGGGGCACAGCAGGACCCGGGCACCCCCCGCGG
rnacentral:lncRNA from 1 species